GCUGUCCCUAGUACGAGAGGACCGGGAUGGACGAACCUCUGGUGUACCAGUUGUCGCGCCAGCGGCACCGCUGGUUAGCUACGUUCGGUCGGGAUAACCGCUGAAAGCAUCUAAGCGGGAAGCCCAUCUCAAGAUGAGGUCUCUCACCGGGUCAACCGGGUAAGGCCCCUCGUAGACUACGAGGUUGAUAGGCCGCAGGUGUACGCACAGCAAUGUGUUCAGCCGAGCGGUACUAAUAGGCCGAGGUCUUGACUUUC
rnacentral:rRNA from 1 species